UACGAAGGGGGCUAGCGUUGCUCGGAAUCACUGGGCUUAAAGCGCGUGUAGGCGGGUCGUUAAGUGUCCGAGUGAAAUCCCACGGCUCAACCGUGGAACUGCCGGGCAUACUGGCGAUCUUGAGGCAUUCAGGGGCGAGCGGAACAAAUGGUGGAGCGGUGAAAUGCGUAGAUAUCAUUUGGAACGCCAAUGGUGAAAACAGCUCGCUGGGAAUGAUCUGACGCUGAGACGCGAAAGCCAGGGGAGCGAACGGG
rnacentral:rRNA from 1 species